UCCUCCUCCUCUUCCUCCAUUUAGUUGCUCUUUCUCCUCCUCUUUCUCCGUGAGGUUUUUACGGCGCUCAUCUCCUGUAAAGUUUUAUGUGUGUGAGAUGAAGAUGCUGAUGUUGAAUUUGUCCUCGUGUCUGGAGACGCAGCAUCAUGAUGAGUCCAGUCUAGAGCAGCAGGAUGAGAGCUUGUUGCUGUUUGGAGGCAUCUGGGAACAUCUGCAGGGCUUAAAACGAGCUGAUGACGGGUUUAUUGUCUGAGCUUCUCUUUCUCCAUGUUUCCCUCUGACUUCCAUCUGCUGGAUGUUGAUUAACCCAGAAAUGAUUCCUCCACCAUUCAGCGUCUCCUUCUAAUCUUCCUCUCCCUCCUGUUUCAUGCUGAGACCUCCUUGUCAGAUCAGAUCUUGGGGGGGUUUCUUCCUGGGUUCUGGUUGUGUGAACCUUUGGAGCUCCAGCCUCUGGUUCUGGAUGUUUGUUGCUCUCAUUGAUCAUUUUCACUGUCAGAAGUCUGAGCGUCAACGUUUACCUCAGAUAUCAGGACAUGUGAGACGGUUCUGAUGUCCGCUGUUGGUUCAGUCCAUUUUCUGUGUGUCUGGGACUUUUGGGUUGGAGCUGAUGUUGCUGCUGGAGGAGAUGUGGGGAAAGUCUUCUGUGUUAAACUUUCUGAUGCUGCUGCUGAUCACAAUUGCCAAGUUUCUGUUAAAUCACCUGGAAAGAUGAGCGUGUCUGGAAAAGUAUUGUUCAUAUUGGAGCGCCACCCAUUACCAUUCACCUCUAAUCUGGACUCUUUAUUAUUAACACGUGGACAUAAAUGCAGCCCAAACUGUAGGGUGCACCCUAUCAAUAUAUGUAUCAAAAUAUGCGUCUCUAUCUUGAGAUGUGUACUAUUACUUUUCUUUGUGUUUCCAGUUACUAUGGUGACAUAAUUAGCAAAAAAACAUGGUAAAAAAUCACAUUGGAAUGAGUGGAGUAAUCAAAACCACUGUUUUUGAGCCUUCCCUGUGUUGUUUUAUGUUGUCCUAAAACACGGUUUUAUCUUUCAGUUUGUAGAUACAUCCGUCCUCUCUUCAGAAGUGGAGACCGUAUGUUAACACUUGCUACAAUUUCUUCAAAAUGCGCCUCAAACCCCCACAAAGUUUGUGGGAAAAUGUUAGAGUGCGAUCACAGCUAACAGUUUUUUCCCCCACAAAAUAUAGAUUUUUAACUCACCCUCACAGCCACAAAUGUCGCUCCACAGUCGCCGUUUUUGCACAGUUUGUGGUCACGUCUUUCAGCUUUCAUAGAAUAUAUUCAGAAUUGCUCUAGGUCUAGGUCCUAUAGUUUUUUUUGUGAAGGCUAUCCUAACUGCAUGAAAGUCUCAGAAUUGCACAGAUUUUUUUCAAUGCAAUUUCUGUCCCAGCUUGCCCAGAAAUGAUGGAGCCAUACAUCAUAUUCACAUUGUUAAAUCUUUUACAUCUAAUGAAGUAAGGCUGUCGCUCACGGUUUGAACUAUUUUUCAGAUAUCAAUUACAGUUUUCAUGUAGCGUACAUUUGGUCUGGGCUUUAUUUCUCAUCUGCUCUCCCCAGAGGUCACCAGAGGUCACCAGAGGUCACUAGAGGUCACCAGAGGUCACUAGAGGUCAGCAGCCUCUCUCAGUGAAAACACAUUUUUUAACUUAUCUUCACUCUGGGGUCACCAUUUUCAGUCAGUUUGGUGUCUUACAGUUCUGCUUUCAGAAAAUAUUUUUACUAUCGCUGAAGGUCUUACAGUUUUCCCUAAACCCGUCCUGAUCGUACAAAGCUAAAAUAAUAGAGUGGUGUCUCUAUUUUUAAUAUAAUGUGAUCAGUUGUGUCAAAUGCCUUUUUUAGUUCAACAAACAGACCAACUACAAACUUGUUUUUAUCUAUGAAGCUGCUGAAUCCCUGCCAAGGCUGUUGAUCUAUAAGAUCUAAAUUCAUGUUGACUUUUAGAAAAUACUUUGUGUUUAUCAAUUAAGUUUUCCAGACUGUUAAUAAAGAGUUUUUCUAAAAUCAUCAAAAAUGUGUGGAAGCAGAGAAACAGUCUAUAGUUGGUGAAUUGGAGUCUAUCUGCUAAUUUUUGCAGUUUUCAUUUUGUUUGGAAAUUCACCGGUUUGGAAAGAGACAAAGGUUUAACAGUUGCAUCAAUAACUAUUUUUACUGUUGCCAAUAAAUGUCAUCACAGUCAGAGGAGCUUUUGUUUUUAUUUACAGCUAUGAUUUCUCUCUCUUUCACUGCUGUGAUAAAACAUUGAACCUG